AUUUUUUUUUUUCUCCAAAUUUUGACCUUUAGGUACUGUUUGGGGUGUGUCCGUGAUCUGUGGUAUAUUACGAGCCCAUCAGAACUCCGCAGCUAAGUGUUCUUGGGCGAGAGUAUUACUAGGAUGGGUGACCUCUCAGGAAGUCCUCGUGUUGCAUCCCUCAUUUUUUUUUCCGGUUAACACGAUAUGACUCUAUAUCGUUUAGACCAUGAGGCCAAACUUGGCAUGUGAUACCCUUU
rnacentral:sRNA from 1 species